rnacentral:rRNA from 1 species
CCCUUAGAUGUUCUGGGCAGCACGCGCGCUACAAUGGUCUUCGCAAACGGAUGCAUUCUCGAAGGAGAAUGCCAAUCUUGGAAUCUAUGCCUUGGUCGGGACAGUUGCUUGCAAUUUUUCGACUCGAACCAGGAAUUCCUUGUAAUCGUGAUUCAUCACAUAACGAUGAAUACGUCCCUGCCCUUUGUACACACCGCCCGUCGCUCCUACCGAUCGAAGAGUUAGGUGAAUUGUUUUGAUCGAUAAGAUUUGACUAUGGUCAACUCUCGUUGUGAAAUUCUGUGAAUCUGACUGUUUAGAGGAAGGAAAAGUCGUAACA